CCUACGGGAGGCAGCAGUGAGGAAUCUUGGUCAAUGGACGAGAGUCUGAACCAGCCAAGUAGCGUGAAGGAUGACUGCCCUAUGGGUUGUAAACUUCUUUUAUAUGGGAAUAAAAUGUUCCACGUGUGGGAUUUUGUAUGUACCAUAUGAAUAAGGAUCGGCUAACUUCGUGCCAGCAGCCGCGGUAAUACGGAGGAUCCGAGCGUUAUCCGGAUUUAUUGUGUUUAAAGGGAGCGUAGGUGGAUUGUUAAGUCAGUUGUGAAAGUUUGCGGUUCAACCGUAAAAUUGCAGUUGAAACUGGCAGUCUUGAGUACAGUAGAGGUGGGCGGAAUUCGUGGUGUAGCGGUGAAAUGCUUAGAUAUCACGAAGAACUCCGAUUGCGAAGGCAGCUCACUGGUCUGCAACUGACACUGAGGCUCGAAAGUGUGGGUAGCAAACAGGAUUAGAUACCCGGGUAGUC
rnacentral:rRNA from 1 species